GUAUUGGGUGUAGCGUACCUACUAGCCUACGACGGGUACGGGUUGUGAGAGCAAGAGCCCGGAGAUGGAUUCUGAGACACGAAUCCAGGCCCUACGGGGUGCAGCAGGCGCGAAAACUUUACAAUGCUGGAAACAGCGAUAAGGGGACCUCGAGUGCCAGGUUACAAAUCUGGCUGUCGUGAUGCCUAAAAAGCAUUGCAUAGCAAGGGCCGGGCAAGACCGGUGCCAGCCGCCGCGGUAACACCGGCGGCUCGAGUGGUAACCGUUAUUAUUGGGUCUAAAGGGUCUGUAGCCGGCCGGAUAAGUCUCUUGGGAAAUCCAGCAGCUUAACUGUUGGGCUUUCAGGAGAUACUGUCUGGCUCGAGGCCGGGAGAGGUGAGAGGUACUUCAGGGGUAGGGGUGAAAUCUUGUAAUCCUUGAAGGACCACCAGUGGCGAAGGCGUCUCACCAGAACGGACCUGACGGCAAGGGACGAAAGCUAGGGGCACGAACCGGAUUAGAUACCCGGGUAGUCCUAGCCGUAAACGAUACUCGCUAGGUGUCGGCCACGGUGCGACCGUUGUCGGUGCCGUAGGGAAGCCGUGAAGCGAGCCACCUGGGAAGUACGGCCGCAAGGCUGAAACUUAAAGGAAUUGGCGGGGGAGCAC
rnacentral:rRNA from 1 species